GGCAGAGCAGAAAAUAAGUAGCAGCAGCCUAGAGUGAUUAUCCUCUAGAUUUGCCGUUUUGGGGCCAAAUUCUGGCCUCAGUGACAGUUACUCCAGAUCCAUGUUAGUACAAAUAGUAACAGUUCCAAGACACUAAUACAGAUCAGGAUUUAUUUUCAGGGCUUCUGCCUAUCCUGAUACAGAUCUAAAAUCCGCCCUUUUCUCUCUCUCACAGCUGAACCUAUGGGUUGGAGUUUGAACUGCAACAGUCAUGGGAAUAUCCAUUUCAACCAAAAAAAUGCAUUUAUUAGUGAAAAGAAAUUAUUUUAAUUAAUUUGAUUUACGGGAGACAGUAAUGGGAUGUCAGACACACACUGGCCCCAGGGGAUGCAGCUGACACCACAGAUACUGCUGGAUCUUGAGCCACGGAGAUCUGAGCAAUUCCCUUCAGUUCCACCACACCACACUAUGUACAGGGAGGGGAAGGUACUCAACUGCUGCAGAGAGCAAUGGCUGCGUACUGU
rnacentral:lncRNA from 1 species